ensembl:snRNA U6 U6 spliceosomal RNA
GUGCUCACUUCAACAGCACAUAUACUAAAAUGGGAACGAUGCAGAGAUGAUUAGCAUGGCCCCUAAACAAGGAUGACAUGCAAAUUAGUGAAGCAUUCCAUAUCUUU